rnacentral:rRNA from 1 species
CUGCUGCCUUCCGUAGGAGUCUGGGCCGUGUCUCAGUCCCAAUGUGGCCGUUCAACCUCUCAGUCCGGCUACCGAUCGUCGCUUUGGUGGGCCGUUACCCCGCCAACUGGCUAAUCGGACGCGAGCCCAUCUUUCAGCGGAUUUCUCCUUUGAUUUAAUCACCAUGCAGCAAUUAAAUAUUAUGCGGUAUUAGCGUUCGUUUCCAAACGUUAUCCCCCUCUGAAAGGCAGGUUGCUCACGUGUUACUCACCCGUCCGCCACUAGG